rnacentral:rRNA from 1 species
AUACGAAGGUCCCGAGCGUUAUUCGGAAUCACUGGGCGUAAAGGGAGCGUAGGCUGUAGGGUAAGUCAGAUGUGAAAUCUCAGAGCUCAACUCUGAAACUGCAUCCGAUACUGCCGUACUAGAGUAAUGGAGGGGUAACUGGAAUUCUCGGUGUAGCAGUGAAAUGCGUAGAUAUCGAGAGGAAGACCAACGGCGAAGGCAGGUUACUGGACAUUUACUGACGCUGAGGCUCGAAGGCUAGGGUAGCGAAAGGGAUUAGAUACCCUAGUAGUCC